GGCGUGCCUAAUACAUGCAAGUGGGACGCAAGGGAACACACUGUGCUUGCACACCGUGUUUUCUUGAGUCGCGAACGGGUGAGUAACGCGUAGGUAACCUGCCUAUUAGCGGGGGAUAACUAUUGGAAACGAUAGCUAAUACCGCAUAAUAUUAAUUAUUGCAUGAUAAUUGAUUGAAAGAUGCAAGCGCAUCACUAGUAGAUGGACCUGCGUUGUAUUAGCUAGUUGGUAAGGUAAGAGCUUACCAAGGCGACGAUACAUAGCCGACCUGAGAGGGUGAUCGGCCACACUGGGACUGAGACACGGCCCAGACUCCUACGGGAGGCAGCAGUAGGGAAUCUUCGGCAAUGGACGAAAGUCUGACCGAGCAACGCCGCGUGAGUGAAGAAGGUUUUCGGAUCGUAAAGCUCUGUUGUAAGUCAAGAACGUGUGUGAGAGUGGAAAGUUCACACAGUGACGGUAGCUUACCAGAAAGGGACGGCUAACUAC
rnacentral:rRNA from 1 species